rnacentral:rRNA from 1 species
GGGUUGUGAGGUUAAGCGACUAAGCGUACACGGUGGAUGCCCUGGCAGUCAGAGGCGAUGAAGGACGUGCUAAUCUGCGAUAAGCGUCGGUAAGGUGAUAUGAACCGUUAUAACCGGCGAUUUCCGAAUGGGGAAACCCAGUGUGUUUCGACACACUAUCAUUAACUGAAUCCAUAGGUUAAUGAGGCGAACCGGGGGAACUGAAACAUCUAAGUACCCCGAGGAAAAGAAAUCAACCGAGAUUCCCCCAGUAGCGGCGAGCGAACGGGGAGCAGCCCAGAGCCUGAAUCAGUGUGUGUGUUAGUGGAAGCGUCUGGAAAGGCGCGCGAUACAGGGUGACAGCCCCGUACACAAAAAUGCACAUGCUGUGAGCUCGAUGAGUAGGGCGGGACACGUGGUAUCCUGUCUGAAUAUGGGGGGACCAUCCUCCAAGGCUAAAUACUCCUGACUGACCGAUAGUGAACCAGUACCGUGAGGGAAAGGCGAAAAGAACCCCGGCGAGGGGAGUGAAAAAGAACCUGAAACCGUGUACGUACAAGCAGUGGGAGCACGCUUAGACGUGUGACUGCGUACCUUUUGUAUAAUGGGUCAGCGACUUAUAUUCUGUAGCAAGGUUAACCGAAUAGGGGAGCCGAAGGGAAACCGAGUCUUAACUGGGCGUUAAGUUGCAGGGUAUAGACCCGAAACCCGGUGAUCUAGCCAUGGGCAGGUUGAAGGUUGGGUAACACUAACUGGAGGACCGAACCGACUAAUGUUGAAAAAUUAGCGGAUGACUUGUGGCUGGGGGUGAAAGGCCAAUCAAACCGGGAGAUAGCUGGUUCUCCCCGAAAGCUAUUUAGGUAGCGCCUCGUGAAUUCAUCUCCGGGGGUAGAGCACUGUUUCGGCAAGGGGGUCAUCCCGACUUACCAACCCGAUGCAAACUGCGAAUACCGGAGAAUGUUAUCACGGGAGACACACGGCGGGUGCUAACGUCCGUCGUGAAGAGGGAAACAACCCAGACCGCCAGCUAAGGUCCCAAAGUCAUGGUUAAGUGGGAAACGAUGUGGGAAGGCCCAGACAGCCAGGAUGUUGGCUUAGAAGCAGCCAUCAUUUAAAGAAAGCGUAAUAGCUCACUGGUCGAGUCGGCCUGCGCGGAAGAUGUAACGGGGCUAAACCAUGCACCGAAGCUGCGGCAGCGACGCUUAUGCGUUGUUGGGUAGGGGAGCGUUCUGUAAGCCUGUGAAGGUGUGCUGUGAGGCAUGCUGGAGGUAUCAGAAGUGCGAAUGCUGACAUAAGUAACGAUAAAGCGGGUGAAAAGCCCGCUCGCCGGAAGACCAAGGGUUCCUGUCCAACGUUAAUCGGGGCAGGGUGAGUCGACCCCUAAGGCGAGGCCGAAAGGCGUAGUCGAUGGGAAACAGGUUAAUAUUCCUGUACUUGGUGUUACUGCGAAGGGGGGACGGAGAAGGCUAUGUUGGCCGGGCGACGGUUGUCCCGGUUUAAGCGUGUAGGCUGGUUUUCCAGGCAAAUCCGGAAAAUCAAGGCUGAGGCGUGAUGACGAGGCACUACGGUGCUGAAGCAACAAAUGCCCUGCUUCCAGGAAAAGCCUCUAAGCAUCAGGUAACAUCAAAUCGUACCCCAAACCGACACAGGUGGUCAGGUAGAGAAUACCAAGGCGCUUGAGAGAACUCGGGUGAAGGAACUAGGCAAAAUGGUGCCGUAACUUCGGGAGAAGGCACGCUGAUAUGUAGGUGAAGCGACUUGCUCGUGGAGCUGAAAUCAGUCGAAGAUACCAGCUGGCUGCAACUGUUUAUUAAAAACACAGCACUGUGCAAACACGAAAGUGGACGUAUACGGUGUGACGCCUGCCCGGUGCCGGAAGGUUAAUUGAUGGGGUUAGCGCAAGCGAAGCUCUUGAUCGAAGCCCCGGUAAACGGCGGCCGUAACUAUAACGGUCCUAAGGUAGCGAAAUUCCUUGUCGGGUAAGUUCCGACCUGCACGAAUGGCGUAAUGAUGGCCAGGCUGUCUCCACCCGAGACUCAGUGAAAUUGAACUCGCUGUGAAGAUGCAGUGUACCCGCGGCAAGACGGAAAGACCCCGUGAACCUUUACUAUAGCUUGACACUGAACAUUGAGCCUUGAUGUGUAGGAUAGGUGGGAGGCUUUGAAGUGUGGACGCCAGUCUGCAUGGAGCCGACCUUGAAAUACCACCCUUUAAUGUUUGAUGUUCUAACGUUGACCCGUAAUCCGGGUUGCGGACAGUGUCUGGUGGGUAGUUUGACUGGGGCGGUCUCCUCCUAAAGAGUAACGGAGGAGCACGAAGGUUGGCUAAUCCUGGUCGGACAUCAGGAGGUUAGUGCAAUGGCAUAAGCCAGCUUGACUGCGAGCGUGACGGCGCGAGCAGGUGCGAAAGCAGGUCAUAGUGAUCCGGUGGUUCUGAAUGGAAGGGCCAUCGCUCAACGGAUAAAAGGUACUCCGGGGAUAACAGGCUGAUACCGCCCAAGAGUUCAUAUCGACGGCGGUGUUUGGCACCUCGAUGUCGGCUCAUCACAUCCUGGGGCUGAAGUAGGUCCCAAGGGUAUGGCUGUUCGCCAUUUAAAGUGGUACGCGAGCUGGGUUUAGAACGUCGUGAGACAGUUCGGUCCCUAUCUGCCGUGGGCGCUGGAGAACUGAGGGGGGCUGCUCCUAGUACGAGAGGACCGGAGUGGACGCAUCACUGGUGUUCGGGUUGUCAUGCCAAUGGCACUGCCCGGUAGCUAAAUGCGGAAGAGAUAAGUGCUGAAAGCAUCUAAGCACGAAACUUGCCCCGAGAUGAGUUCUCCCUGACCCUUUAAGGGUCCUGAAGGAACGUUGAAGACGACGACGUUGAUAGGCCGGGUGUGUAAGCGCAGCGAUGCGUUGAGCUAACCGGUACUAAUGAACCGUGAGGCUUAACCUUACAACGCCGAAGCUGUU